rnacentral:rRNA from 1 species
GUGGGGAAUCUUCCGCAAUGGACGAAAGUCUGACGGAGCAACGCCGCGUGAGUGAAGAAGGUUUUCGAAUCGUAAAGCUCUGUUGUCAGGGACGAGCAGGGGGAGUAUCAACAACACUCUCUUAUGACGGUACCUGACGAGGAAGCCACGGCUAACUACGUGCCAGCAGCCGCGGUAAUACGUAGGUGGCGAGCGUUUUCCGGAAUUAUUGGGCGUAAAGGGAGCGCAGGUGGGAAAGUAAGUCUGCUUUAAAAGUGCGGGGCUCAACCCCGUGAGGGAGUGGAAACUAUUUUUCUUGAGUGCAGGAGAGGAAAGCGGAAUUCCUAGUGUAGCGGUGAAAUGCGUAGAUAUUAGGAGGAACACCAGUGGCGAAGGCGGCUUUCUGGACUGUAACUGACACUGAGGCUCGAAAGCCAGGGGAGCGAACGGGAUUAGAUACCCGAGUAGUCC